rnacentral:rRNA from 1 species
GAAACUUUCAACAACGGAUCUCUUGGUUCUGGCAUCGAUGAAGAACGCAGCGAAAUGCGAUAAGUAAUGUGAAUUGCAGAAUUCAGUGAAUCAUCGAAUCUUUGAACGCACAUUGCGCCCCUUGGUAUUCCGAGGGGCAUGCCUGUUCGAGCGUCAUUU